rnacentral:rRNA from 1 species
AUUGAACGCUGGCGGCAGGCCUAACACAUGCAAGUCGGGCGCGCGGCGGAGGGGUGAGUAAUGUAUGGGGCUCUGCCUGAUGGCGGGGGAUAACUACUGGAAACGGUAGCUAAUCCCGCAUACCAUCAGAUACACCCAUAUGGGAUUAGCUUGUAGGUGAGGUAACGGCUCACCGAGGCGACGAGCCCUAGCUGGUCUGAGAGGAUGAUCAGCCACACUGGGACUGAGACACGGCCCAGACUCCUACGGGAGGCAGCAGUGGGGAAUAUUGCACAAUGGGCGCAAGCCUGAUACAGCCAUGCCGCGUGUAUGAAGAAGGCCUUCGGGUUGUAAAGUACUUUUAGUAGGGAGGCGGUAUCUGCAGAAGAAGCACCGGCUAACUACGUGCCAGCAGCCGCGGUAAUUC